rnacentral:rRNA from 1 species
UACGAAGGGGGCUAGCGUUGUUCGGAAUUACUGGGCGUAAAGCGCGCGUAGGCGGUUUGAAAAGUCAGAUGUGAAAGCCCCGGGCUCAACUUGGGAACUGCAUUUGAUACUGUCAGACUAGAGUACAGAAGAGGUGACUGGAAUUCCCAGUGUAGCGGUGAAAUGCGUAGAUAUUGGGAGGAACACCAGAUGCGAAGGCGGGUCACUGGGCUGAUACUGACGCUGAAGUGCGAAAGCCAGGGGAGCGAACGGG